rnacentral:rRNA from 2 species
GGCGCCUUCGGUGUCCGAGUUGUAAUUUGAAGAAGGUAACUUUGGUUUUGGCUCUUGUCUAUGUUCCUUGGAACAGGACGUCACAGAGGGUGAGAAUCCCGUGCGAUGAGAUGCCCAAUUCCAUGUAAAGUGCUUUCGAAGAGUCGAGUUGUUUGGGAAUGCAGCUCUAAGUGGGUGGUAAAUUCCAUCUAAAGCUAAAUAUUGGCGAGAGACCGAUAGCGAACAAGUACAGUGAUGGAAAGAUGAAAAGAACUUUGAAAAGAGAGUGAAAAAGUACGUGAAAUUGUUGAAAGGGAAGGGUUUGAGAUCAGACUUGGUAUUUUGUAUGUUUUACUCUCGGGUGAGGCCUCUGCAGUUUACUGGGCCAGCAUCAGUUUGGAUGGUAGGAUAAUGACAUUGGAAUGUGGCUCUUCGGAGUGUUAUAGCCCUUGUUGAUACUGCCUAUCUAGACUGAGGACUGCGUCUUUGACUAGGAUGCU